rnacentral:rRNA from 1 species
CGUAACGCGUAUGCAAUCUACCUUGUACAGAGGGAUAGCCCAGAGAAAUUUGGAUUAAUAUCUCAUGGUAUUAUAGAAUGGCAUCAUUUUAUAAUUAAAGUUCCAACGGUACAAGAUGAGCAUGCGUCCUAUUAGCUAGUUGGUAUGGUAACGGCAUACCAAGGCAACGAUAGGUAGGGGUCCUGAGAGGGAGAUCCCCCACACUGGUACUGAGACACGGACCAG